rnacentral:rRNA from 1 species
UACAGAGGUGGCAAGCGUUGUUCGGAAUUACUGGGCGUAAAGGGCGCGUAGGCGGUUCGAUAAGUCCCGUGUGAAAUCCCUCGGCUCAACUGAGGAAUGGCACGGGAAACUGACGGGCUUGAGUUCGGGAGAGGGAAGCGGAAUUCCUGGUGUAGCAGUGAAAUGCGUAGAUAUCAGGAGGAACACCGGUGGCGAAGGCGACAUCCUGGACCGGUAUUGACGCUGAGGCGCGAAAGCCAGGGGAGCAAACGGG